rnacentral:rRNA from 1 species
GACGAACGCUGGCGGCGUGCUUAACACAUGCAAGUCGAACGGAAAGGCCCUGCUUGUAGGGUACUCGAGUGGCGAACGGGUGAGUAACACGCGGGUGAUCUGCCCUGCACUUCGGGAUAAGCCUGGGAAACUGGGUGUAAUACAGGAUAGGAGCCAUUUUUAGUGUGAUGGUUGGAAAGUUUUUUCGGUGUAGGAUGAGAUCGCGGGCUAUCAGCUUGUUGGUGGGGUAAUGGCCUACCAAGGCGGCGACGGGUAGCCCGCCUGUGGGGGUGGACGGCCACAUUGGGACCUAGGUGCGGCCCAGGUACCUACGGGAGGCAGCAGUGGGGAAGCUUGCCCAAGGGGCGCAAGGCGGGUGCAGCGACGCCUCGGGGGGGAUGACUGCCUUCGGGUUGUAAACUCCUUGCGCUAGGGACGAAGCUUUUUGUGACGGUACCUAGAUAAGAAGCACCGGCUAACUACGUG